GACGAACGCUGGCGGCGUGCCUAACACAUGCAAGUCGAACGGAGUGUUUAUUUAUAAACACUUAGUGGUGAACGGGUGAGUAACGCGUAGACAACCUACCCUCUAGAUGGGGACAACACCGCGAAAGUGGUGCUAAUACCGAAUGUUGUAAUGUUGUUGCAUAAUGAUAUUACUAAAGGUGGCCUCUAUAUAAAAGCUACCGCUAGAAGAUGGGUCUGCGUCUGAUUAGCUAGUUGGUGAGAUAACAGCUCACCAAGGCAAUGAUCAGUAGCCGGUCUGAGAGGAUGAACGGCCCCACUGGGACUGAGACACGGCCCAGACUCCUACGGGAGGCAGCAGUGGGGAAUCUUCCGCAAUGGACGAAAGUCUGACGGAGCAACGCCGCGUGAGUGAAGAAGGUUUUCGGAUCGUAAAGCUCUGUCUUCAAGGACGAAUGUAGAUAUUGUGAAUAAUGAUAUUUAAUGACGGUACUUGAGGAGGAAGCCACGGCUAACUACGUGCCAGCAGCCGCGGUAA
rnacentral:rRNA from 1 species